GGAGCCCGAGCGGUUCCCGGGACCCGGGGCGCUGUUCGGGGGAGCAGAGCCGCCUCCAGGGCUCGGCAGCGCCGGCCCUUGGACACCGGACCGCAGGGCAGGGACGGAGCGAAGGUCACGGGCUCGGAGGCACCCAGACGAUCGCUCCCGACCUUUAAAACGAACGCGAGGAACGGCUGGGGGAAAGGAUGGACCCUGAAGCAGCAUCGUCACUGUCCAUCCUGGAGGCGUCCUGCGGGAAGCCCGUGUGCGAUUCCCCGGCGUGGGCUUUGCAGCCGGGAGCCGUGUGCUGCUGAGGCGUCCCUGCUGCGUGCCUGUGCUGGCCCUCGGGGGCUCCCUGCUGCUCCUGCCAGUGCUGCGCCGCCUCGGGGGCCGCCUGAGGAGGGAACUCCAGUCUCUUGGCUGGCAUGGGAGGCGUGGAUGGCUGCAUCAGCGACGGCGGCGGCGACGGCGGCACCUGCGCGGCGUCUGCGAACUGAGGCCUUUGAGAUGGACUGGGCAUCGAAUCCUUUGUUCGCUGAUGGGCUUGGCGCCGGGCACAGCAGGAAGCUGCGAGUCUGGUUUGCAGUUGUGAGCGCCUCCGUUCGCUGAUCCCGGCGGGUUGGGCAGCCCCCUUGGCACUGGCUCGUUCUGGGUCACGGGUUCUAUCAACUUCUGCCAAUUCCGCAGCAAUUUCUUGGCACGUUUGGCAAGUUCCUCGUUGGAUGUCUUCUUCCUCACCUCAUUGAUAAGCCUCCCGAGUCUGGUUUCCUACAAAGACAGACAAGGUGUUUUACAAACACGUAUCGUGCCAAGCAAAAUCCUCCAGGAAUGUUUCUGCUUUGUAAUGCUCAUCCCUGAGAAACACCUGGUUAAAAACACUGAAGAUUUAAGCGUUGAAUUAAUCUUUUUGGAAAGGAUUAGUUCAGGGCUCUGCCACGCAACAUGAAACCGACUGUAGGUUUCAAGUCACGGCGUCUUUAUUCCCUGGGAAAAGCAGGAGAGCUGGGAAAAACAUCAGAAAGGAUUUUUUAAUUGAGAAAGAGCCAUAAGAAUAAGAGUGCAGGUUCGGAUUCGAGGGGAAAUGCAGCACCCAAAGGUGUGUGUUUAUCACAAAGGAAGUAUAAGAUCUGCAGAGAGAGCCAAGAGAAAAGAAUUCCAGGAUCUCUGCCUGUCACAGUAACUCGUUAACAAUAAAAAUCUCCAUUUGACAAACCUGA